rnacentral:rRNA from 1 species
UACGAAGGGUGCAAGCGUUACUCGGAAUUACUGGGCGUAAAGAGCGUGUAGGCGGUCCGGUAAGUCCGCUGUGAAAGUCGGGGGCUCAACCCUCGAAUGCCGGUGGAUACUGUCGGGCUAGAGUGCGGAAGAGGCGAGUGGAAUUCCUGGUGUAGCGGUGAAAUGCGCAGAUAUCAGGAGGAGCACCUAUUGCGAAGGCAGCUCGCUGGGACGUAACUGACGCUGAGACGCGAAAGCGUGGGGAGCAAACAGG